UGAGGAAUAUUGGGUCAAUGGGCGAGGGCCUGAACCAGCCAAGUAGCGUGCAGGAUGACGGCCCUAUGGGUUGUAAACUGCUUUUAUAAGGGAAUAAAGUGAGCCUCGUGAGGCUUUUUGCAUGUACCUUAUGAAUAAGGACCGGCUAAUUCCGUGCCAGCAGCCGCGGUAAUACGGAAGGUCCGGGCGUUAUCCGGAUUUAUUGGGUUUAAAGGGAGCGUAGGCCGGAGAUUAAGCGUGUUGUGAAAUGUAGGUGCUCAACAUCUGCACUGCAGCGCGAACUGGUUUCCUUGAGUACGCAC
rnacentral:rRNA from 1 species